UACGGGGGGGGCAAGCGUUGUUCGGAAUUACUGGGCGUAAAGGGCGUGUAGGCGGCCAACUAAGUCCGACGUGAAAUCCCCAGGCUUAACCUGGGAACUGCGUCGGAUACUGGAUGGCUUGAAUCCGGGAGAGGGAUGCAGAAUUCCAGGUGUAGCGGUGAAAUGCGUAGAUAUCUGGAGGAACACCGGUGGCGAAGGCGGCAUCCUGGACCGGCAUUGACGCUGAGGCGCGAAAGCCAGGGGAGCAAACGGG
rnacentral:rRNA from 1 species